UCUAACAAGUGAGUAUUCCCC
rnacentral:piRNA from 1 species